rnacentral:rRNA from 1 species
GAUGAACGCUGACAGAAUGCUUAACACAUGCAAGUCAACUUGAACUUCGGUUUGUGUGGCGGACGGGUGAGUAACGCGUAAAGAACUUGCCUCACAGCUAGGGACAACAUUUGGAAACGAAUGCUAAUACCUGAUAUUAUGAUUUUAGGGCAUCCUAGAAUUAUGAAAGCUAUAUGCGCUGUGAGAGAGCUUUGCGUCCCAUUAGCUAGUUGGAGAGGUAACGGCUCACCAAGGCGAUGAUGGGUAGCCGGCCUGAGAGGGUGAACGGCCACAAGGGGACUGAGACACGGCCCUUACUCAUACGGGAGGCAGCAGUGGGGAAUAUUGGACAAUGGACCAAGAGUCUGAUCCAGCAAUUCUGUGUGCACGAUGAAGUUUUUCGGAAUGUAAAGUGCUUUCAGUUGGGAAGAAAAAAAUGACGGUACCAACAGAAGAAGUGACGGCUAAAUACGUG